rnacentral:tRNA from 1 species
GGCGGGGUGGAGCAGUCCGGUAGCUCGUCAGGCUCAUAACCUGAAGGUCGUGGGUUCAAAUCCUACCCCCGCAACCA